CCAUUUAGAAUGCCCAGAUUCAAGAGGCAAGUAGAAAGGAGAGUUGACGAAGGGUCCCGAGCAGGGACAGCUGGAAAAGCAGAGCUGGUGGAACUUGGAGAGCUGUGGCUUCCUGUGGUUGUUGAAGGUGACGGUCAUCUUGAUCCUGGCUGGGCAGUGCUGGAGCAGCUUCCCCACCUGGGGAUCUCACUGGCUAUCCUUCUCCUCAA
rnacentral:lncRNA from 1 species